rnacentral:rRNA from 1 species
GACGAACGCUGGCGGCGUGCUUAACACAUGCAAGUCGAACGGCAAGGCCCUGAUAUCGUGGGGUGCUCGAGUGGCGAACGGGUGAGUAACACGUGAGUAACCUGCCCUUGACUUUGGGAUAACUUCAGGAAACUGGGGCUAAUACCGGACAGGAGACCCUGCUGCAUGGUGGGGGUUGGAACGUUUCGGCGGUUGGGGAUGGACUAGCGGCUGAUCAGCUAGUUGGUGGGGUAGUGGAUGACCAAGGCUUUGACGGGUAGCCGGCCUGAGAGGGUGACCGGCCACAUUGGGACUGAGAGACGACCCAGACUCCUACGGUGGGCAGCAGUGGGGAAUAUUGCACAAUGGGCGGAAGCCUGAUGCAGCAACGCCGCGUGCGUGAUGACGGCCUUCGGGUUGUAAACCGCUUUCGCCUGAGACGAAGCGUGAGUGACGGUAAUGGGUAAAGAAGCACCGGCUAACUACGUG